rnacentral:rRNA from 1 species
UACAGAGACUGCAAGCGUUAUUCGGAUUCACUGGGCGUAAAGGGUGCGCAGGCGGCUAAGUGAGUGAGGCGUGAAAGCCUGGGGCUUAACCCCAGAAUUGCACCUCAAACUACUUGGCUAGAGCAUUGGAGAGGGUAGCAGAAUUCAUGGUGUAGCAGUGAAAUGCGUAGAUAUCAUGAGGAAGACCAGAGGCGAAGGCGGCUACCUGGACAAUUGCUGACGCUCAGGCACGAAAGCGUGGGGAGCAAAAGGG